GGGCCCGCACAAGCGGUGGAGCAUGUGGUUUAAUUCGAUGAUACGCGAGGAACCUUACCAGGGCUUAAAUGCAGAACGACAGAGGUGGAAACACCUCCUUCUUCGGACGGUCUGCAAGGUGCUGCAUGGUUGUCGUCAGCUCGUGCUGUGAAGUGUCGGGUUAAGUCCCAUAACGAGCGCAACCCCUAUUUCUAGUUGCCAGCGGUUCGGCCGGGGACUCUAGAGAAACUGCCAGCGUAAGCUGUGAGGAAGGUGGGGAUGACGUCAAAUCAUCACGGCCCUUACGUCCUGGGCUACACACGUGCUACAAUGGUAGGGACAGAGAGUUGCCAACCCGCGAGGGUGAGCUAAUCUUCAAACCCUAUCUCAGUUCGGAUCGGAGUCUGCAACUCGACUCCGUGAAGUUGGAAUC
rnacentral:rRNA from 1 species